UACGUAGGAUGCGAGCGUUAUCCGGAUUUAUUGGGUUUAAAGGGUGCGUAGGCGGGAUGCCAAGUCAGCGGUAAAAAUGCGGUGCUCAACGCCGUCGAGCCGUUGAAACUGGCGUUCUUGAGUGGGCGAGAAGUAUGCGGAAUGCGUGGUGUAGCGGUGAAAUGCAUAGAUAUCACGCAGAACUCCGAUUGCGAAGGCAGCGCACCGGCGCCCUACUGACGCUCAGGCACGAAAGCGUGGGUAUCGAACAGG
rnacentral:rRNA from 1 species